rnacentral:rRNA from 1 species
GACGAACGCUGGCGGCGUGCCUAAUACAUGCAAGUAGAACGCAGUUGCGAACGGGUGAGUAACGCGUAGGUAACUGCCUCAUAGCGGGGGAUAACUAUUGGAAACGAUAGCUAAUACCGCAUACUGUGAUAUGGACCUCCUUUUUCUUAGCUAGUUGGUGAGGUAAAGGCUCAGCAAGGCGACGAUACAUAGCCGACCUGAGAGGGGGCGCGGCCACACUGGGACUGAGACACGGCCCAGAGUCCUACGGGAGGCAGGAGUAGGGAAUCUUCGGCAAUGGACGGAAGUCUGACCGAGCAACGCCGCGUGAGUGAAGAAGGUUUUCGGAUCGGAAAACUCUGUUGUUAGAGAAGCGGUAUCUAACCAGUAAGCCACGGCUAACUACGUGCCAGCAGCCGCGGUAAUUC